rnacentral:rRNA from 1 species
UAGGGAAUCUUCCACAAUGGACGCAAGUCUGAUGGAGCAACGCCGCGUGAGUGAAGAAGGUUUUCGGAUCGUAAAGCUCUGUUGUUGGUGAAGAAGGAUAGAGGCAGUAACUGGUCUUUAUUUGACGGUAAUCAACCAGAAAGUCACGGCUAACUACGUGCCAGCAGCCGCGGUAAUACGUGGGUGGCAAGCGUUGUCCGGAUUUAUUGGGCGUAAAGCGAGCGCAGGCGGAAUGAUAAGUCUGAUGUGAAAGCCCACGGCUCAACCGUGGAACUGCAUCGGAAACUGUCAUUCUUGAGUGCAGAAGAGGAGAGUGGAAUUCCAUGUGUAGCGGUGGAAUGCGUAGAUAUAUGGAAGAACACCAGUGGCGAAGGCGGCUCUCUGGUCUGCAACUGACGCUGAGGCUCGAAAGCAUGGGUAGCGAACAGG